UGAUCCGGGUUGCGGACAGUGUCUGGUGGGUAGUUUGACUGGGGCGGUCUCCUCCUAAAGAGUAACGGAGGAGCACGAAGGUUGGCUAAUCCUGGUCGGACAUCAGGAGGUUAGUGCAAUGGCAUAAGCCAGCUUGACUGCGAGCGUGACGGCGCGAGCAGGUGCGAAAGCAGGUCAUAGUGAUCCGGUGGUUCUGAAUGGAAGGGCCAUCGCUCAACGGAUAAAAGGUACUCCGGGGAUAACAGGCUGAUACCGCCCAAGAGUUCAUAUCGACGGCGGUGUUUGGCACCUCGAUGUCGGCUCAUCACAUCCUGGGGCUGAAGUAGGUCCCAAGGGUAUGGCUGUUCGCCAUUUAAAGUGGUACGCGAGCUGGGUUUAGAACGUCGUGAGACAGUUCGGUCCCUAUCUGCCGUGGGCGCUGGAGAACUGAGGGGGGCUGCUCCUAGUACGAGAGGACCGGAGUGGACGCAUCACUGGUGUUCGGGUUGUCAUGCCAAUGGCACUGCCCGGUAGCUAAAUGCGGAAGAGAUAAGUGCUGAAAGCAUCUAAGCACGAAACUUGCCCCGAGAUGAGUUCUCCCUGACUCCUUGAGAGUCCUGAAGGAACGUUGAAGACGACGACGUUGAUAGGCCGGGUGUGUAAGCGCAGCGAUGCGUUGAGCUAACCGGUACUAAUGAACCGUGAGGCUUAACCUUACAACGCCGAAGGUGUUU
rnacentral:rRNA from 1 species